rnacentral:rRNA from 1 species
CCCGCCUACGGGGGGCAGCAGUGAGGAAUAUUGGUCAAUGGCCGGAAGGCUGAACCAGCCAAGCCGCGUGAAGGACGAAGGUGCCAAGCAUUGUAAACUUCUUUUGUCAAGGGACAAAAUCAGGCUCGAGAGCCUGACCGAGGGUACUUGAAGAAAAAGCAUCGGCUAACUCCGUGCCAGCAGCCGCGGUAAUACGGAGGAUGCGAGCGUUAUCCGGAUUUACUGGGUGUAAAGGGAGUGUAGGCGGGAAAGCAAGUCAGAAGUGAAAACUAUGGGCUUAACCCAUAGCCUGCUUUUGAAACUGU